GCCUGCUGGGUGUGCCAGCAUUCCUGCAUUGCUAAGUGCCACGUAAAGCUUUAGUAAGUCUAGAACGUGGAGCUGGAAAGGAGGUGGUGGUCAGCGCCUGCCGUGGAGGCCUCCGUCAGGCUACUUCAGGGGCACGCUGGUCCUUCACAGUGGCCCGCGAGUCUCCCAUUAUGACUUCCCCUUUCCCACCCAUGGGAUCUGGGUUUUUAGGUUAUCAACCAAAGAGCCAAAUGGUGGUAUUGAGACCAGCGAUCUUUCCACUGCCUUGGCUGUCCCCGAAGGGCUGCCAUCUGCCUCCUGGUUCAAAAAGCUUGGCAAGACACACAUAGGAUGAGCACAAAGAAAAUCACACCUGGAGUGGGCACAUGAUAGUCAGACUGCUGAAAACCAGAAGUAAAGAAGACAUUUUGAAAGCAGAGAGAGAGAGAACCCACAAGCAGGCAAAGGCAGUGAGAGAAGCAGG